UCAGCCCUUCCCUCCUCCGAGGUUCACCUCGAGAAAAGAAGCAACGCCGCCGCCGCCGCCGCCGCCGCCGUUCGGGGAGCGCACGAGCACGGCUGGAGUGCCUCGCCACCGCGAUAGCAGCACCCGGAACACACUGCUUCCACAUGAGAUGGACGGCAGCACAGAAUCCUCUUUGGAGUGCCAGGCACAUCAGACGUUCCUACGUAGUGGUAA